AUCAUUACAAGAAAAAGCAAUGAAUUGAGCAAAAACAAACAGUAAAAAAAUUAAUAAAAGCAACAAUAAACCAUGAAUUGAGCAAGCAACUCAUAAAACACAGAGUGAGAACUGCCAUAAAAAAGAUGGAGGGAAGGCAGUUACAUUUUGUCCCCUAUCUUCCUUAAAAUUCUGAUUAUAUUGUCACCAAGGAUAAGAUAAUCUGCCAUUUUAAUGUAUUUGAAUGUAGUUUUUCUUUGCUUGUAAGGUGUCAGUAAAGAAAGAGUGAUGCA